rnacentral:rRNA from 1 species
GAUGAACGCUAGCGGCAGGCCUAACACAUGCAAGUCGAGGGGCAGCACGUUAAGUUAGCAAUAACUUAUGGUGGCGACCGGCGGACGGGUGCGUAACGCGUAUGUAACCUACCUUUAAUUGGGGGAUAAUUCGGAGAAAUCUGGUCUAAUACCCCAUAACAUCACGGGAGGCAUCUCCUGGGGUUAAAAAUUCAGGUGAUUAGAGAUGGACAUGCGUAACAUUAGUUAGUUGGUGAGGUAACGGCUCACCAAGACUACGAUGUUUAGGGGGACUGAGAGGUUAACCCCCCACACUGGAACUGCGACACCGUCCAGACUCCUACGCGAGGCAGCAGUGAGGAAUAUUGGUCAAUGGGGGCAACCCUGAACCAGCCAUGCCGCGUGCAGGAAGACGGCUCUAUGAGUUGUAAACUGCUUUUGUCCGAGGGUAAAGUGGGGUACGUGUACCCUUUUGAAAGUAUCGUACGAAUAAGGAUCGGCUAACUCCGUGCCAGCCGCCGCCGUAA